UUCUGCUUUAGAGAUUUAGUUUGCUUGUUGUACUGUCAUUGUAGCUAUUUGUCACAGUGAAUAGAAUGACUAGUAAACAAAUUCGGAAUAUAUGUACCACCA